GCCGGCCUUGAGCACUGUGGGGAGGGGGCACAGGGGGGAGGUUAUGCUUGCUCUGUGUGCAGGAAAGGGGAAAAUGGAAAAGCCGACUUAGACCAUCCUCCGCAAUGCCCUCUGUGUUUUGUCAACCUCUGGCCGCAGAGCCAGGCAGAAGUAUUUCAACAGUUACACUGCACACUGGCAGGAGGAUUGCAGGCUCAAUGCGUAGAGCUAGUGAUUUUGCCAACUUCCUGGAUGUUCACUGCUGGUUCUGCACCGAAGAGCGACAUUUCCUCUCGGAUCGGGACCGGACGCGGCCGGCACAGACCCUGGGAAACUGUGAGUACUCUGAGCUCCUUCUCCCGCGUCUCUCUGGCCCGGUGUGUCCCGCCCGGCCUGUCCCGCCUGCCUGCCGUCUCCGUAUGCAGCAGCAGCUUUCCCCGGGCAGGCGCCUCGCCUGCACUCGCUAUCAGCCCUCAGGACCGUUCUCCACGUUUAGGAAAAGAGACUCUACAGUUUCUACACAAACAACGUGUAGGAAGGGGAGGGGGAGUGUGCUUACCGAUUGCAGUGACUUCGGUUUUCGCUUUAAGGCUCCGAAAGACGGAGAAAGUAAACAGAAGCAGGCUGGUUUAUUUCAGGGGCUAACAGGGAGUCCCUACUGAAUUUACCUAAUAAAAUAAAUUUAAAAAUUUUUCAUUUUCUCAUUUCAUUCCAGCAGAGAAUGAGUUUGCCUUUAUAAUGUCCAGAUCUUUCAAGCUCAAGUGAGUGAGAAAUUAAGUUACAAAAUGUAAAUACUUUGAUAUAUGUAUGUGAAAUGAAUAUAUAUAUAUGAAAUGAAGAGAUUUCUGACUGUAAUGCAAUAGCAAGCCUGAGUUUAGGCUCUUAGGACAUUGAAAAAUUUUUUAUGAUGUGUAAUGAGAAAAUACAAG